rnacentral:lncRNA from 12 species
GCCCAAGGUGUUCUGGGCCUUUCACCUGCCUGGUCCCACAGCAUUCUCACUCGGCCUGGUGCCCCGAGGUUGGCUGUCUCCCAGGGGAGUCGCCAGGUGGGAGAAGGCCUCGGGCGGCGGAAUGCAGAUGGAACGGAGUGGGCGAGCUCCAGCGCUGAAUGCUGUGGUUUGAAUGGAUACACGUCUCCAGACUUCAAGCUGCAGGUCCGGGGUUCCUGCGAGUGCCUGAACAGAAAACCACUCGUUUCCCUUCGCAAGAGAGGUGCCCAAAGCAGAGAUUUCAAUAUAUUCCAAUUUAGCCAAGGGAAGCCAGAACAUGGAUGCUGUUGCCAAGGAAACCACCUCCUUCCUCCCCGUGUGCUGCACAUACGUGGAUCACUUCAUCUCUCCGCUCUCCAAGGUAAUAUCAUAGCCCUGUGCUUGGGGAAGGGUUUUUAAAAAGGCAUAUAAAACCUCUUAGCAUCGAGAAGAUUCAUUAAAUGAUCUCACUCCAGAGAAGCUUAAAUUAUUCUUUUUAGACCCUUUUAUGCCGAGGAUGGGGAAAUGGCUGAGUCAG